ACGGAGGGUGCAAACGUUAUUCGGAAUUACUGGGCGUAAAGCGCGUGUAGGCGGUCUUGUAAGUCUGAUGUGAAAGCCCCGGGCUUAACCCGGGAAGUGCAUUGGAAACUGUGGGACUUGAGUACGGGAGAGGGUGGGGGAAUUCCCGGUGUAGAGGUGAAAUCCGUAGAGAUCGGGAGGAACAUCAGUGGCGAAGGCGGCCACCUGGACGGUAACUGACGCUGAGACGCGAAAGCGUGGGGAGCAAACAG
rnacentral:rRNA from 1 species